AAAGAAUUAGUUUAUAAAAACAUUAGAAUGUCAAACUAAAAAUAUUAAUAAUUUAAUAUUCUUUU
rnacentral:tRNA from 1 species